CAAGUUACACAUAAAAAUCUUCUUUUAGUUGUUGCCGUCGACGUGACCUCAUCGUCCUGAUGAUAACAACUAUCCGCUUUAGGACCGUGUGGACUAUCAACUUUGAAUGUGUACCGGACGCUGGUUGACGCGGCGGAGAUAUUCGAGGAGCCCUUACUAAACCAUCAUCGACCCUAGGGGAAUGUCGCCGUUUUAGGGCCGCGUGGGUCGGCGGCGAGUACUAGGGACGAGGAAGUCGAGCUGAAGCGGCCACAGCAGUCAGGUGUCCUCAUCCUCGCAGUACGGGCCGUUGUUUGUUCUUGUCUUCUAUGUACUGAAUACUCCGAUGGUCUCCGAUGAUGUGGAGGUCUAAUAACUGUCGGACGUUGAAUGAACGAAGGUUGUACUAUCAUUGUGUAAGAUUCCAAGCAUUAGCCGAUGAAGUCUUGCGACAACGAUAAGACACCCAUUUCCAGGAGUAAAACAACUACCACCGUAGAAUGUUUCUUUUCCAUUGGACGUAAAUGAAUAAUAAGAACAUGAAACGGGAAGUUUAUAUCUUCAUCCUAGUUACAGUUAUUCGUAAAAGUGUUGAAGAGAAUAACAGCCAGCGAGUCUUCGGCGAGCAUAUUAAGUUCGUUACCGUUUACAAUUCCUGGAAAUAAUAUUGAAAACUAGGUAUCAACGAUUGAAAAUCUAGUGUUUGGCGACAUCAUAAGGCCAGACUUGUAACCCUAGUUUGAGUAAAACUAGUACUGUACUAUUUUUUACCUUACCACCCUUCAUCGUCCAGGUCAAAGAUCAUUUACCCUAGCACCCUUCUACGUAUUAUCAGGAUAGGAUAUUAGACGUCAAAAGUCCUAUUUGCCCUAGUUUGCCGAAGAAGGGGUCUGGUACGUGCCGAAACACGGAUCCGUUUGGGGAAAAUAAGGAGGGUCCGUGUUGGUGUUGUAGGAAAAAUCAGGUUUAACUGGCGACUGACGCCAGGUUCAAGUCGUUUAUUAAAAAAUAAAGCCAGGUUGGACCAGCAGGGUUCGUUAAGUGGCAGCGUCGAUGAUCCGGCUAACGCAGCUCGGAGGACGGUGGCGGCCACCCCGAGGUAGCGGCAUGACGGGUAUGGCAAGUGGCGGUGGUGUGGCCUAGCAACUUGCUGUGUUGGGUUUCGUCAAGUUGCGGCGCCGAGCCCUCCGUGUGUGAAGCGGGGAGGUAGGGUCCUCUCGUCAUGUAGAGGAACACGUGCUCGUCAGGAAACGGCUACAUGUGACGACGAGAUUCGAGAAACCGGUGAAGAGGUUAUACAGGUCGUGGCAGGGUCAGGUCAGGGCACCGUAGGGCUACCAGCUCAAGUACGGCUCGUCGUCAGGUGCUGGCAGUCGAGGAUAAAGGUGAUAUCACCAACCCAACGGCAAAAGGAGUAGGAAGGGCCACGCGCUGUUGGGUCGGGUGUACGACGACGGCAAGCGGUGGGGUUUUAUCGAAGUAGAUACAUUUACGAUGAUUUAGUCACCAAACUAAAUCGUCGGAGGAAGUCAAGUUGGUGUACUUGAUUUCAUUAGUCUCUUCUUGUUAUAUGACUUCUUGUUACAUGACUCAAAAAACAAUUGGUCGCUUCUUUUUAUAUGACUUUAAUGUCCCCUAUUGUGUUACGUCACGAUCAGUGAUAGCAAUCAUGAAUUACACUCAGUUUUUUCUUCACAACCUGUUACCAAGCAACAAUUAAUCACUGGUCUUGAUCACAUGAAACCUAAUAAGAUCACGUUUACAUCGGAGUUUAAGGAUCAUACACACUUGUACGUGUGUAGACUGUCUUUUACCCAAGUACUCUUUUACUCCAAGAAUACUAGUACAAAUAACAAUUGAAUAAGUCUUCUUUACGAUAAUUCAAUAUAGUAAUCACUUUUGUGUCAAUUGAAUAGUUUUUUAUUGACAUAGUCAAGACUGAGCUCUCCCACAUUCACGUCUUCUUUUUUAACCAACCACAUUUCCCAGUAGCUAACUUUUCAAAUAUUCAAGUGGUGCUGCAGAGUCUAUUCAAGUACUUUUUCUCAUUUGUUUUUUCUUUGGGGUUUACCCUUAAGCUUACCAUUUUCAAAUUCAGUUUUUAAAGAUGAACCGGAUCUAUCGAGUAUAUAUGAAGUUAGAACAUUAAAUUUUCCAGUUCAGUGUUCAAGCCUCUACUAACAAACGUUGAUCAAACGAAACUACUAAGACAUUAACGUAGUCCGGUAAUGUCUUUUACCGAGAUCAUCAAGUAAUAAAUAAAGUUAAGUACUUUUGCUAUAUCACGCGGCGGGGCGGACGUUACAACCGAACGAUCGACGGUCACCAAGCACACGGGACCAGCGACGAUGAUAUCCCAUUCCACUCACUCUUUCUCUAAUGACUCUCCCUAAACUACGACGACAACAAGGUACAUAACUAUCUCCUAACAGCUUAGAUUUCGGUCGACGUGGAAGUGUAGGAUACGUGACAGUGUAUACUCAACCACGAGGACGUCAUCACAAGAUUAAUCGUUUUCUUGUUACUCUUCCCUUUCUUCUACCACCAAUUUAUAAUUCAUUGAUUCUUGACUAUCUUACUCCUAUUGUAUUUUGUUACACACUGACUUUCUUUGAUUUAUAAAACCACGCUUUUCAACAACGAAAAGAGACCACGACAUCAAGUUAAAUGAUGUUGGCAAGACGAACAUUAUCGUAGAAGACGUCCUUCAAGCUCUACCCUUGUGAACAAAGUUUACGAGAGGAGAGUAAGCGCUACGACGGUUGUUCCUUUUGGAGACCCUUCGAGACGACAUGUUUGUGUAGUCGUGUCACUCAUUCCUAUACCGUGGAACCCCUUAUUACGGAUGUUUCGUUCGGGCCCUACUGCUACGACUAGUGAUC
rnacentral:rRNA from 1 species